rnacentral:rRNA from 1 species
GAUGAACGCUGGCGGCGUGCCUAAUACAUGCAAGUCGAGCGAACGGACGAGAAGCUUGCUUCUCUUAUUUUAGCGUCGGACGGGUGAGUAACACGUGGAGAACCUACCUAUAAGACUGGGAUAACUUCGGGAAACCGGAGCUAAUACCGGAUUAUAUUUUGAACCGCAUGGUUCAAAAGUUAAAGACGGUCUUGCUGUCACUUAUACAUGGAUCCGCGCUGCAUUAGCUAGUUGGUAAGGUAACGGCUUACCAAGGCAACGAUGCAUAGCCGACCUGAGAGGGUGAUCGGCCACACUGGAACUGAGACACGGUCCAGACUCCUACGGGAGGCAGCAGUAGGGAAUAUUCCGCAAUGGGCGAAAGCCUGACGGAGCAACGCCGCGUGAGUGAUGAAGGUCUUCGGAUCGUAAAACUCUGUUAUUAGGGAAGAACAUAUGUGUAAGUAACUGUGCACAUCUUGACGGUACCUAAUCAGAAAGCCACGGCUAACUACGUG